GCACUGAAUGGAUUAACUAUUCUUUAUUUAUUUAUAAAUUUAUUUAAUACUUUUAAGUCCGUCUUAUAGAAAAUUUUAAAUUUUCCAACCGAAAAAAUUUUUUAUUGUAACUCGCCUUAUUUCUUAUUUAUUUGCUGCACUUUGAUUUGUAUUAAAUUUUAAAAUAAAAUUUUGAAUUUACCUUAGGUAAAUUCACGACAACGGUAUACAAGCUUUAGUAAAUAAGUAUAAUAUUCUUGGUGGUUAUCAAUUACAUGGUAAGUUCCCCUAAGAUACUACAUUCAGCCGCCAUAAUAUUUAAGUUUAGGCCCAAUAAUAAGCAUUAAUCCUUGUUUAAAGUAUAUUAAUCUCCGUAUAACUGGGUAUCUAAUCCAGGUUUAAAUUUAGGAGGUUAUUUAAUUAUAAAUGUAGUUAGCUUAUAAGUUUAGUAGAAUUUCACCUCAUAUUAAAUUUUUGGGUAUAUAGUUAUUAAACAAAUGCUAUAAAUUUACCUAGUAGGUAUGACCGCGGUUGCUGGCACCUAAUUAACCUAGGUUACAUAAUUAUCUAAAUUAAAAUUUCUUUUAUAGUUUAAAAUUUUUAACUGGAGUUAGUGUUUGCAUUCCAUAUUAAGUUAGAUUAUAGACUUAUAGGCCCAUCAUAUUAAAGUGGCUUAUCUAAGGGGGUUUAUAACCAUUUUAGA
rnacentral:rRNA from 1 species